rnacentral:rRNA from 1 species
UACGGAGGGUGCAAGCGUUAUCCGGAUUUACUGGGUUUAAAGGGUGUGUAGGCGGGCUUUUAAGUCAGUGGUGAAAUCUCCGGGCUCAACCUGGAAACUGCCAUUGAUACUAUUAGUCUUGAAUUUUGUUGAGGUAGGCGGAAUAAGUCAUGUAGCGGUGAAAUGCAUAGAUAUGACUUAGAACACCAAUUGCGAAGGCAGCUUGCUAAACAAUAUUGACGCUGAGGCACGAAAGCGUGGGGAUCAAAACAGGG